GGAUUGAUGGCAGAAUUUGGUUAUUGCGUAAUAUUUGAAAUAUUAUUACUUUAUAGUAGUGUGGGUUCAAGUCCUACUUAAUCCG
rnacentral:tRNA from 1 species